GUGAAAGAUAACUAUUUUGAAUGGAUUCAGGACAUCAGGGCAGCCAAGGUAGUGCAAGGAAAGACUGGAAGGAGGACUUCCGCAACUGUUUCUGAAAGUGCCAAGAAGGAUGUGAUGAAUGUGUUUGAAGUGACUCUCCUCAGACUGCGCCGUGGCUGACAGAGGCGGAGCGACGAGUCCUGACAGCAGGCCAAGGCAGCGCGCGCUGGGUGUUGACAGUCUCAGAUCCAUGACUGCUCCCCACUCCACCUGCUCCACGGUGGGAAAAGCUUUGUUAUGCGAGCAGCUUGAUAAGGACAGCUUCCUGCCAGGGAGGAAGUUAAACUUGAAUUCGAUUCAGAAGAAAAUAAUGAAGUCUGUUUCUCCCCCAUCUCUGAAAAUCACAGCGGUCUAUCACUGCACGAAGUGCCUCCUGCAGAAGUGUAAUACUUCGUGACCUUUCCCCUCCUGCCCAAUGAUAUCGUUGGCUGACUCUCUUGACACACCCUUCCGCAAAUUUCCUGAAGCUGUUACUGUGCCGUGAAUGCUGCUCUGGACAUUACCGGGAAAUGUAACCGGAAUAGCUUCACGGCGUCUUUUUAUAUCAGUGUGUGUUGUACUUGUUUGCCCACACUCAGCCAUUAAAAUUACGAGUUACCUCUUUA